GAAUGGAAACCGUGGCGAUAGUGUAAGAGCAAAAGAGAGCUUAACUGCAAGAGGUACAUCUCGAGCAGAUGCGAAAGCAGAGUCUAGUGAACCGAUGGUACGCCUUAGAUGCGGCCAGAGAUUAACGGAUAUAAGUUACCCUGGGGAUAACAGGCUAGUUCCGCCCAAGCGUCCAUAGCGACGGCGGAGUUCGGCACCUCGAUGUCGGCUCACCUUAGCGCGGGGGUGGAGAAGCUCCCAAGCGUUUGGCUGUUCGCCAAUUAAAAAGGUACGCGAGCUGGGUUCAAACCGUUCAGCGGUUGAAUCAGCAGAUUCACCUACUGGGUGAUUGCAAAAUUCGACAAUUGAACGGUUUGAACCCACGAGGAUGUUACGUGCGUGGAGACGCAUGGUGCGAUAGACAUACUUACGGCGGUCGUUUGCAGGAAUGCAGACGUUAGCAAAUCAACUAAUAUCGGUGAAACCCAAUCUCGUUGUGUACGAGAGGGCAAUACCGAGGGAAGAGUUGUUAGAAAAAAUGCGUACCCGUAUCGAUUACGAUACGGCUGCUCGUUCGGAGAAUAAGAAUAUGAGAUUACUCACAUUCUUAUUUCCUCACUUCACACCCGUAGAGACUGAAUGUUGAUCAUCGAGAACCGAUGAAGUUACAGUCCGAUCCUCCGAGUAAUUGGAGAAAAUCCACUACCGCUUUUCUUUUAAGCAGUAGUGGGCAACGUAGAUGCGUGAGACAGGUUGGUCUCCUAUCUACUACAGGCGUUGAUUCUUGCGGAGGGUUGUCCCUAGUACGAGAGGACCGGGAUGAACUGACCUCUGGUCUGCCAGCUGUCCUGCCAAGGGCACCGCUGGGUAGCUAUGUCGGGUGACGAUAACCGCUGAAAGCAUAUAAGCGGGAAACGUGCUCCAAGAUUAGGAAUCGUUAUGAGACUCCUAGGAGAUGACUAGGUUGAUAGGCUCUAGGUGGAAGCGCCGCAAGGUGUGGAGCCGAGGAGUACUAAUAUGUCCAGUCUCCCGUGCGG
rnacentral:rRNA from 1 species